rnacentral:rRNA from 1 species
UACGUAGGUGGCAAGCGUUGUCCGGAUUUACUGGGCGUAAAGAGCGCGCAGGCGGUCGUCCAAGUCGCGUGUGAAAGCCCCCGGCUCAACUGGGGAGGGUCACGCGAUACUGGUCGACUCGAAGGCAGGAGAGGGUAGUGGAAUUCCCGGUGUAGUGGUGAAAUGCGUAGAUAUCGGGAGGAACACCAGUGGCGAAGGCGAGCUACC